rnacentral:rRNA from 1 species
GCCUGCCCAGUGAUUAUAUUUAACGGCCGCGGUAUCCUAACCGUGCAAAGGUAGCACAAUCACUUGUUCUUUAAAUAAGGACUGGUAUGAACGGCGCCAUGAGGGGCACCUUGUCUCUCAUGAUAAGUCUAUGAAACUGACCUUCCAGUACAAAUGCUGGAAUAAACCCACAAGACGAGAAGACCCUGUGGAGCUUCAAACUUUAAGUCAUUACGUGACCACACAGUUUUAAGUUGGGGCGACUUUGGAGCAAACCAAAACCUCCAAAUUUACAAACCUAGGCCUACACGCCAACAUAAACACAUGACCCAAUAUAAUUGAAUAAUGAACCAAGUUACCCCAGGGAUAACAGCGCAAUCUUCUUCUAGAGUCCCUAUCGACAAGAAGGUUUACGACCUCGAUGUUGGAUCAGGAUACCCAAAUAGUGCAGCCGCUAUUAACGGUUCGUUUGUUCAACGAUUAAUAAUCCUACGUGAUCUGAGUUCAGACCGG